AGAGUUUGAUCCUGGCUCAGGACGAACGCUGGCGGCGUGCCUAAUACAUGCAAGUCGAACGCUUCUUUUUCCACCGGAGCUUGCUCCACCGGAAAAAGAGGAGUGGCGAACGGGUGAGUAACACGUGGGUAACCUGCCCAUCAGAAGGGGAUAACACUUGGAAACAGGUGCUAAUACCGUAUAACAAUCGAAACCGCAUGGUUUUGAUUUGAAAGGCGCUUUCGGGUGUCGCUGAUGGAUGGACCCGCGGUGCAUUAGCUAGUUGGUGAGGUAACGGCUCACCAAGGCGACGAUGCAUAGCCGACCUGAGAGGGUGAUCGGCCACAUUGGGACUGAGACACGGCCCAAACUCCUACGGGAGGCAGCAGUAGGGAAUCUUCGGCAAUGGACGAAAGUCUGACCGAGCAACGCCGCGUGAGUGAAGAAGGUUUUCGGAUCGUAAAACUCUGUUGUUAGAGAAGAACAAGGAUGAGAGUAACUGUUCAUCCCCUGACGGUAUCUAACCAGAAAGCCACGGCUAACUACGUGCCAGCAGCCGCGGUAAUACGUAGGUGGCAAGCGUUGUCCGGAUUUAUUGGGCGUAAAGCGAGCGCAGGCGGUUUCUUAAGUCUGAUGUGAAAGCCCCCGGCUCAACCGGGGAGGGUCAUUGGAAACUGGGAGACUUGAGUGCAGAAGAGGAGAGUGGAAUUCCAUGUGUAGCGGUGAAAUGCGUAGAUAUAUGGAGGAACACCAGUGGCGAAGGCGGCUCUCUGGUCUGUAACUGACGCUGAGGCUCGAAAGCGUGGGGAGCAAACAGGAUUAGAUACCCUGGUAGUCCACGCCGUAAACGAUGAGUGCUAAGUGUUGGAGGGUUUCCGCCCUUCAGUGCUGCAGCUAACGCAUUAAGCACUCCGCCUGGGGAGUACGACCGCAAGGUUGAAACUCAAAGGAAUUGACGGGGGCCCGCACAAGCGGUGGAGCAUGUGGUUUAAUUCGAAGCAACGCGAAGAACCUUACCAGGUCUUGACAUCCUUUGACCACUCUAGAGAUAGAGCUUCCCCUUCGGGGGCAAAGUGACAGGUGGUGCAUGGUUGUCGUCAGCUCGUGUCGUGAGAUGUUGGGUUAAGUCCCGCAACGAGCGCAACCCUUAUUGUUAGUUGCCAUCAUUUAGUUGGGCACUCUAGCAAGACUGCCGGUGACAAACCGGAGGAAGGUGGGGAUGACGUCAAAUCAUCAUGCCCCUUAUGACCUGGGCUACACACGUGCUACAAUGGGAAGUACAACGAGUCGCAAAGUCGCGAGGCUAAGCUAAUCUCUUAAAGCUUCUCUCAGUUCGGAUUGUAGGCUGCAACUCGCCUACAUGAAGCCGGAAUCGCUAGUAAUCGCGGAUCAGCACGCCGCGGUGAAUACGUUCCCGGGCCUUGCACACACCGCCCGUCAA
rnacentral:rRNA from 1 species